CGCUCAAAGGACCUUGGAAACAUGCUUUCAAGUCGCCUGAGGAUGGGGCCGCGUCCGAUCAGGUUGUUGGUGAGGUAAUGGCUCACCAAGCCUAUAACCGGUACGGGCCGUGAGAGCGGUAGCCCGGAGAUGGGUACUGAGACAAGGACCCAGGCCCUACGGGGCGCAGCAGUCGCGAAAACUCCGCAAUGCACGAAAGUGUGACGGGGCUACCCCGAGUGCUCUCCGCUGAGGAAAGCUUUUCUCUGGUGUAACAAGCCAGGGGAAUAAGGAGAGGGCAAGACUGGUGUCAGCCGCCGCGGUAAUACCAGCUCUCCGAGUGGUAGGGAUGUUUAUUGGGCUUAAAGCGUCCGUAGCCGGCUUAGCAAGUCUCCUGUUAAAUUCAGCGACCUAAUCGUUGAGCCGCGGGAGAUACUACUAGGCUAGGAGGCGGGAGAGGUCAACGGUACUUCCGGGGUAGGGGUGAAAUCCUAUAAUCCCGGGAGGACCACCAGUGGCGAAGGCUGUUGACUAGAACGCGCUCGACGGUGAGGGACGAAAGCUGGGGGAGCGAACCGGAUUAGAUACCCGGG
rnacentral:rRNA from 1 species